UCGUCAACUCGAUCUGGCAACACUGCCGGUGGAGCUGUAGUGCGCAGGUGUCGGCGUGAUAAGAGCUCGUCUGUGGAGGUAACGUGCGGCGGAGUGUAUGGCUCAGCGAAUAUCAGCGUGAGAGUGCAGUGAGAGUGAGAGUGGCGGCAACAGACGAGACGCCGAGCUUAAAUAGAGGUGCGGUUUGGAGCACGAGUGAGCAGGACGCCAGCAGAGAGUGUCACGUGUACAACGCAGGAUUUCAACGGGACUGGGUAGCAGAUAGCUGCCCGGUCAUAUAUUCCUAUAGACACUUAAAUUCUUUUUCCUUUUUUGUGUGCUGUGACACUGUUUUGGAGUGGAUUGUGGUUUAUUGUGUGCACAAGAGAAUUGUAGUAGUGUGUUUGUGUGUGAAGUAGGCUGUGGAUACUGGCAGUAUUCUGUUUUAUUUUUUAGUGAUGAGGCGUUUGGAUUACCUGUUGCAGUGGGACUAAACUGACUGUUGCUGCUGUCCAGAAAGACAUUACACAUUAUUACUUAAAGACUGCUUGCGGACUGCCAAUUUCUUCGUUAACCAUUCCUCCUCUAUGCUGUUUUUACUUUCUUUUUUUUUAAAAUGAAAAUAAAGUGUGUGUAAUGAGAUCUA